rnacentral:rRNA from 1 species
UACGUAGGUGGCGAGCGUUGUCCGGAUUUACUGGGCGUAAAGAGCGCGCAGGCGGUCGUACAAGUCGCGUGUGAAAGCCCCCGGCUCAACUGGGGAGGGUCACGCGAUACUGUUCGACUCGAAGGCAGGAGAGGGAAGCGGAAUUCCCGGUGUAGUGGUGAAAUGCGUAGAUAUCGGGAAGAACACCCGUGGCGAAGGCGGCUCUCUGGGACGGUACUGACGCUGAGACGCGAAAGCGUGGGGAGCGAACAGG